rnacentral:misc_RNA from 1 species
GAAAUGCGAUAAGUAGUGUGAAUUGCAGAAUUCAGUGAAUCAUCGAAUCUUUGAACGCACAUUGCGCCCCUUGGUAUUCCAUGGGGCAUGCCUGUUCGAGCGUCAUUUGUACCCUCAAGCUCUGCUUGGUGUUGGGUGUUUGUCCCCGUCUCCGCGCGUGGACUCGCCCCAAAGUGAUUGGCAGCCGGAGUACUGGUCCCGGAGCGCAGCACAUGUCGCGCAAACGAGUGCCUUGGUACGGCGGCGUCCAUAAGCCCCUCUCUCACGCUCUUGACCUCGGAUCAGGUAGGGAUACCCGCUGAACUUAAGC